rnacentral:rRNA from 1 species
UGCUGGAGGUAUCAGAAGUGCGAAUGCUGACAUAAGUAACGAUAAAGCGGGUGAAAAGCCCGCUCGCCGGAAGACCAAGGGUUCCUGUCCAACGUUAAUCGGGGCAGGGUGAGUCGACCCCUAAGGCGAGGCCGAAAGGCGUAGUCGAUGGGAAACAGGUUAAUAUUCCUGUACUUGGUGUUACUGCGAAGGGGGGACGGAGAAGGCUAUGUUAGCCGGGCGACGGUUGUCCCGGUUUAAGCAUGUAGGCUGGUUGUCCAGGCAAAUCCGGAUAAUCAAGGCUGAGGUGUGAUGACGAGGCACUACGGUGCUGAAGUAACAAAUGCCCUGCUUCCAGGAAAAGCCUCUAAGCAUCAGGUAACAUUAAAUCGUACCCCAAACCGACACAGGUGGUCAGGUAGAGAAUACCAAGGCGCUUGAGAGAACUCGGGUGAAGGAACUAGGCAAAAUGGUGCCGUAACUUCGGGAGAAGGCACGCUGGUGUGUAGGUGAAGUCCCUGCGGAUGGAGCUGAGACCAGUCGAAGAUACCAGCUGGCUGCAACUGUUUAUUAAAAACACAGCACUGUGCAAACACGAAAGUGGACGUAUACGGUGUGACGCCUGCCCGGUGCCGGAAGGUUAAUUGAUGGGGUUAUCCGUAAGGAGAAGCUCUUGAUCGAAGCCCCGGUAAACGGCGGCCGUAACUAUAACGGUCCUAAGGUAGCGAAAUUCCUUGUCGGGUAAGUUCCGACCUGCACGAAUGGCGUAAUGAUGGCCAGGCUGUCUCCACCCGAGACUCAGUGAAAUUGAACUCGCUGUGAAGAUGCAGUGUACCCGCGGCAAGACGGAAAGACCCCGUGAACCUUUACUAUAGCUUGACACUGAACAUUGAGCCUUGAUGUGUAGGAUAGGUGGGAGGCUUUGAAGCGUGGACGCCAGUCUGCGUGGAGCCAACCUUGAAAUACCACCCUUUAAUGUUUGAUGUUCUAACGUUGGCCCCUGACCGGGGUUGCGGACAGUGUCUGGUGGGUAGUUUGACUGGGGCGGUCUCCUCCCAAAGCGUAACGGAGGAGCACGAAGGUUAGCUAAUCCUGGUCGGACAUCAGGAGGUUAGUGCAAUGGCAUAAGCUAGCUUGACUGCGAGCGUGACGGCGCGAGCAGGUGCGAAAGCAGGUCAUAGUGAUCCGGUGGUUCUGAAUGGAAGGGCCAUCGCUCAACGGAUAAAAGGUACUCCGGGGAUAACAGGCUGAUACCGCCCAAGAGUUCAUAUCGACGGCGGUGUUUGGCACCUCGAUGUCGGCUCAUCACAUCCUGGGGCUGAAGUAGGUCCCAAGGGUAUGGCUGUUCGCCAUUUAAAGUGGUACGCGAGCUGGGUUUAGAACGUCGUGAGACAGUUCGGUCCCUAUCUGCCGUGGGCGCUGGAGAAUUGAGGGGGGCUGCUCCUAGUACGAGAGGACCGGAGUGGACGCAUCACUGGUGUUCGGGUUGUCAUGCCAAUGGCACUGCCCGGUAGCUAAAUGCGGAAGAGAUAAGUGCUGAAAGCAUCUAAGCACGAAACUUGCCCCGAGAUGAGUUCUCCCUGAGACUUUAAGUCUCCUGAAGGAACGUUAAAGACGAUGACGUUGAUAGGCCGGGUGUGUAAGCGCAGCGAUGCGUUGAGCUAACCGGUACUAAUGAACCGUGAGGCUUAACCUU